UACUUGAUGAAACACGGCGUUUUCCAUUAGGUUCUUCUUCGUCUCUUUUCUGUCUCCAGCGCUAAUGGCGAUUGAAGUUUCUAAUACGCUCUUUCAUCUUCUUCUUCACUGUCUGAAACAAUACAUAUAACGGAGUUAUCCUCUUUAAUCUCACAGGUCUCCAGCGAAUCGAUCCUUUCAUGAGGAGAUCCUAAUCACAGCAGCUCAUGCUACCUUCUAUGAAUUCAACAUUGAGAUCAGUCAAUGGAGUCGUAAGGAUGUUGAAGGGUCUUUGUUUGUUGUCAAAAGUAAACAAGAACCUCGGUUUCAGUUUAUUGUAAUGAAUCAUGGGAACACAGUGUUUUAGUUUGUUUAAAGCUAAGGGAAGAUAAUCUGGUGGAAGAUCUCCUGGGAGAUUUUGAGCCUGAGAAGGUACUCUGAAAUUUGAUGUUUCUUAGCUAACUAGCAACCUAAUAAGAAACGCAAAAUGGGAAGACCAAUUACUCUUACAGUGCCUCCUGCAGCAUCAUCUUCGCAGACCGGUUCUCUCACACGGUAACUUAUCCGAAUCAGACACUCUGACUACUAUAAAUCAAGAACGCCGCAUAGCUAAAGAUUCUGCUCGAAGUGCCAGACAGCUACGAAUGGAGAUUUGUGUAAAGAGAAAAAAAGGGCCCAGAUAGCUGGAUCUUCAUCGGCAUCUGCAUCUACUUCCGGAAGCUCAAAAAGACCACGUGAAAAUGAUCUCAAGACAUAUGACAAAUGGGAGUUGGUCUCAUGUCCAUCCUGUAAAGCGUUGUUCUGGAAUGCUGAAGCACCUCGAGUUCAGACAAACCAAGAGAGCAAGCAGUUUAGUCUUUGUUGUCAGAGAGGUCGUGUGAGACUUCCACCAGUUCGGGAGCCACCGUCUCCAUUUCUAGAGCUUUUAGAGUCGCCGAGCUUCAAGCCCCACAUCAGAAUUGCUAACAGUUUGCUUGAUUUCCCCUCUAUGGGUGCCAAAAUUGAUAAGAGCGUCACUGGGUAUGGACAUGAGAAGAUCUCCAUGACUCCAUCAUCAAACGUAGGUAUCAUCAUGAAUAAUAUCAUUAUUUGCUGACUAUAGACAGAUUCAUGUUCUUUAAUGUUCCAAAUGAUGUUGAUGCUAGAACCGCUUGGUCACAGUGCAAUUUGAAGGAUCCUAGGUCAAUCUUAACUUCGAUACCUAUGUCUUUAUUUCAUUGUCUUCAAAAGAUGAUAUACUGACUCUUCUUAUGUCAUGUAUCUAAUUAUCUCCUUGAUUAUCA